GGCUACAUUCAGAAGCAUGGGAGGAUGAGAGAAUUCACCAGAGACAGAGCAGGGAACAGAACAGGCAGACUGACGGAGUACGCUGCUGAGGGGAGCAGCGGUCGAAAGGAGAGGUCUGUGCUAUGUGGGAACCUUGUUGGUGGCUGGGGAUGGAACCAGUGCUGGAGAGAAUGCGGGCAGCUUCACAGUGCUCAACCACUGCGCCACCAGGGGAGACCCUGCUUAGGAGGCGCAAUACGGAGGCAGAGUGAAGACACAGGGCUCACCGCCGCCAUAAACUCACAACACUGUGCAGGACAACAUCGAUGCCCCUGAAAGAGAAAUGGGUGACCAGGGCACACACCAGGAGCAGGGACCAAUGGCAAGAAACUGGGAAAACGUUAACUGACCUGCAUCUACAGUUAUACUGGAGCAGAAUUAAACCCCCUACAGAUGUGGACUCGGGGACACAAGCCACAUUGGGGACUUUGGAGAUUCAGCACUUCCCUCAGCGCUGGGCUCAACCCACUGGGCCCUCCGGGAGGCCCUAUUUUUGAAGAUACCGUACCAAUUCUCUACAGCUACUGUCUCCUCCAGGCAGAGAAAGAACAUCCAGAUGCCUCCAUGCCCCAGGGCCCCGCAGGCAGAGCAGGUCACCUGGAGGUGUCCCUGCAGUGGGAACCAGUGUGCCCACGGCGGCCGCCUCCUCGUGCCCUUUGGAACCUGCGUGGGAAGAGCAGAGCCAGUGAAGCCCAAGCACGGAGGAGGCUCUUUCCAUAGUGACACCCCCCGGGAAGUGCUGCAUGGACAGAGAUGCGACAAAACGCAGAUGGAAACCAGGAGGCCCUAUCGAGGCGCCACUCACUGGCGGGUGCUUCACCAGACCCGUUGUCCUCCCUGCCCUUCAUCUGCUCUGCUCCUGGGACUGCUGUGCUUGCGGACAUCUGUGCUCCACGCCUGUGUUCUCAUGCUGCUCCUGGCCCCUCUGGCUGGGCCCAGCCCCUGACCCCUCUCCAGGUCUUGGCCUCCGCUGGUGUGCUCCUCUCACUAUGGCCACUGAGUGACUGCCCUGGAGCGGGGAAGUGAAUUCUAGGGAGGUGCUGGUGACCAUCUAAUCCCCAACAGGGUGAACUCUGCUCUUGUGUUUUCUUCCGAAGGGUGGACAGAAAAUGCAACAUUUUAAAAUCCUAUUAAGGAUUCAACGAGCUCUGGCCUUGUAGCCUCCGCUGGACUGAAGGGUGGAUUGGGAAUGGUGUUCAUAGCCCAGUGUCUCUGCAGGGAGUGGGCUGAACAGGGGCUCCUCCUUGGGGUUAUUCGGGUGGUGCUGGAGAGCUGGGGGACUGGGCUGGAGGUCUUCCUAAUGCUUUCCUGGCCCCCCUCCAGCUGGGGGCCUAGCAAGAUGGUGCUGG